GCUAAGAGCUGUUCUGAUGGAAGCGCUUGAUUUGCGCGAUCCAAACCACGAAUCGAUCUUGAGCUUUCGUUUCCCAGUCUCUUCGUCCUUGAUUAGCUGGAAAUCGAGAUUGAGAUGCUUGAAAUCGCGGACGAGCUUGCCGCGAGGUCCUUCAACUUCGAUCACUUUAGCGUUAACUUUGAUGCUAACGCCGUCGGGAAUGUCCAUCGUCUCCGAAGAUAGAAUCGUCUUCAUCUUCUCUCGCUGUCUGUCUCUCUGGCUGUGUCUCUUGUUUGCACCACGGCGGCGGCGAAUUUUAACAAGAAACCUAGGUUUUAUGGGUUUUCUGAUGGGCCGGUCCGAUCAGUUUGGGCGCAGUCCAUUUUGGGCCAGUCUUGAUAAAAUCUAUAUAUUUCUGUGUUUUUCUUUCUCUCUAUCGGUGAUCUACUAGUGUUUUGUCCGACCACCGAAGGAAUCCAACCGAGCCAAAUCAAAUAAAAAGAACUACUAAAAGGAACCGGACAGUUAAAAAUGCUGAAUGAUUCUUUUUCAAAAAAAAAAUUUAGAUAUCUGCGCCGAACCAAAUUAAGAAGAAUUAAACUGAAACGAAAUAGUCCCAAAUACUUGAAUGAUUCAUUUUUAAAACAUUUCAUAUAUCCUGAAACGAAUAGUCACAAAUACUUGAUUGAUUCCUUUAAAAAACAUUUCAUAUAUCCGAACUGAACCUGAACCAAAAUACAAUUAUAUAUGUAAAAUAUCAAGUAUUUUUUAGACUUAAAAUAACCAAAAUAUUAAAAAUAACAAUUAUAAAAUCUAAAUUUUUAAUUUUAAGGGUAUUUCAUAUACUAAAUAUCGGAUAAUUUAGAUAAUUUGAGUAGUUUUAGGUAUUUUUUAGGUAAUUUGGAUAGUUUAAGUUUUUUUAGAGUAUUUCAAAUAAUUCAAAUAAUUCGCGUAAAGUUAUCAUAUUCAAACCAAACUCACAUACAUUUCAAAUCAUAGGUGUCAAGAUAUGACGCGGUCAUCAAACCAGUAGUUGAACCAGAGCUUCAUCAAACUUACUGCUCAAGCUACAUAGGAUCCAACAAAGACGUCUCUGCCUUCAAUAAAGCAUAUCGAACCAACAAGAAAGAUUUGAGGAACAAGCUGAAUUGUUUUAGAAACUCAAAUCAUCAGAGAUUCAUGGAGAAGUGUAAUUGGGUUCAUAUCAGCUCGGACAAAACCAGAAUCGAAUUUACAAAUCAGAUGAUUCCAGAUUAUCUUGCUAUUGAAGCCAAUACGACCUACGGCCAUUGUUUCACAAAUACCGGUUCAACCACAAUGAUUCAAGGCACGAAACCAGUUGGAGAACAUUCUCAGCUCAUCUAGAGAACACCAAGAAGUGGAAUCAGUCCAAUACGAGUUCUGAGGAAGGAGAUAUUCAGUUUUCAAACCAGGAGAACUAGAGCUCGCUAGAUUCAGACAUAUGCGGGAUCAUUGGAGGAUUCCGACUAAACCAGAAUGAAUUAAGCUAUGAACCAACUUGUUCUAGUAUCUUAAUUCAUCAGGAAAUUAGGGAGAGUUUAAAUCGUACCAAUACCGGUUAUGGUUGGGGAGAUAUUCGAUUUUUAAACCAGACAUUCCUCACCUUGCCUUAUUUGGAGUCUCACGAGUUUGGUCAAAGUCAAACGUAUUUGUGGCGACCAGGAGAAAUUAAUAAUAAUCCAGAAUGUUCCUCAAAGGCCCUACAGUGCUCCAGCACACAGAGGAUUAGGCGAAUCCUCUUGCACCUCAACUUACCAUAUUUGGACGCGUUCACACUUGGAGGAAUAACUCACCAACGAUUCUUUCUUCUUUGCUGCUGUAUUUGAAGCCUCUAAAAAUGAAUCCAGACAUCCCAAAGGCGCACCACUUCCAGCCCAAGCUAUCAAGAUUGAAACCAAUGGUUAUUUCCUUAGUUUGACAGAUUUUCUCAUCAAUUCUCCAACAGCUAGUUUUUCAUUUAAUUCUGCAAUUUUCUUCUUGUUUUAGACUUAAAAAUUGUUCUACUUGAGCCUAUAUAAGCUCAGCUCGUCCCCAUGUACAAAUCACCCUUGAUCAUUGAAAUUAAUAGAAACGUUUUAUUCUUUUCACAAAGCUUGUUUUUCUUUGCGUUUAUGCUCUUUAGAUUUCUAAGUGUGUGAUUCACUUUAAGUCUAUAGAAACCCACGGUUUUAGGAGUGUUUUGAGUGAUUCAAUACUCUUAGUCUUGCCAUUGAUUGAGUGAGUCAAUCACCUUCACCAUCCAUCUCUACCUUCAGCCCCUUCAGCGUACCUUAGGCUUGGAAUCUCUCGAUCAUCGAGUGAUCUUAGUAUUGGAGUGAUUCCGAUCCUAUAUCAAGAUAGCUUUUCAAUUUAUUAACCGAAUUGACCUGAACUGAAAGCCACCCCAAUCUGAAUACGGAUUUUUCUUGGUUCUAAUAUAGUUUAUAGUUGUUAUACACGGUAAAAAACUAAAGAGGUGUUAUUGGGAGGUUGAUUUAUGAAGAUUUUCAGAGUUUAAGAUUCUAUGGUUAUUGGUUUGUGGAUUUUUACAUUCUUAAUAGAUUUCACUGUUAUUUGUAAACGGAUUUUAAAAAUCCAUUGUUAUUGGUUUGAUGAUUUUGAUAAUCUAAUCAAAAUCUAUUGUUAGUCAAAAAGUUUGUAUUUUAUUGAUUUUAUGAUUUUGUUAUAAUCUAGUGUUAUUAGGAUAAUGAUUCUUUACAAUUUAACUCAUAAUUUUCAAAAUACUACGGAAGAGUUAUUGGGAGUAUGAUCUAUAAAGGUUUUUGUUGCUUUUAAAUGUAAUGAGAUUUAUCAAAUUUUCAUAAGUUUUGUUGGAUUUGUAAAAUUUGCAGAAAGUUAUGUGGAUUUAAAUAAUCCACAAAAUAUUUUUAAUAUGACAGAUUUUGAGAAUCCAAUGGAUAUACAGGUAGUAUUUUGGAAAUCAUGAUUUAUGAGUUAAAUUGUAAAAAAUCAUUACCCCAAUAACACUAGAUUAUAACAGAAUCAUAUAAUCAUUAAAGGGGUUUUUGCUAAAAAUAACAUAAAAUUUGAUUUUGAAUACAAAAGUAGAUCUCUGAUGCAACAUUUAGCAAAAAUAACCUAAAAGGAUAGUGAAAAGACAAUAUAAUCCUGUAUGACCAAACAAAAAAACGGAUGUCAUAAUUACUGUUUAAACUCUGACGAAGUCUACUUUAAACUAUUAGAAGUCUAUUAGUAGACUUAUAAUAAAGUUUAUGAAGUCUACUAUGUAAUUAAAUCAUAAAAAUUAAUUUUAAAAAUAAUAAAAAAUAAUAUUGGUUUCAAAUUUGCAGUCAUAAAUUAGAUAUUGGUAACCCUAUUGCAUAUAAAUUAUUUUUUCAUAUUUAUAAGUUAAACUUUAUGGUUUCAAAUUAAGAAGAACAAAAUAUUUGAUUUAGUGUUUAUAUUUAGUAGACUUCAAUAUAGAAGUCUACUAAACCGAAUAAAUACCGAAAAUUGAAUCGAAAUUGAACUAACAAGGAAAUCUAUAAAAUCGAAUAAAUUAACUUAACCGAUAUUUAAAAUCAAAAUUGAACCAACGAAUUUAUGAGAUAUUAAACCAAAAAUGUUAUCAAACCGAAAUUAAUUUCUUGUAAUCAAUGAAAAUUAGGUUCUAAAAUUUAGUUAAACCAAAAUUGAACCAAAGAAAUUUAACUUUUCCAAAACCAAAAUGAAAAUUAGGUUUUUUUAUCCUACUAUAUAAACGAACUAUCCCUAAUAAAACCCUUAUUUUAUCCCAGACAUGCUCUCUCUAAAACGGCGCUCUCUCUUCUCUCUCACCAUUUUUUUUUGCUUUUCAUUCUCUUUGUGAAGCUAUAGAGAAGCAUGGUUGCUGUACGAAGCUGUAGUGAAGGAGCUGAAGAAAGAAGAUUCAGGCGAGCUCAAGAUCUUAAGCGGUCGUGAAGGAGUAUUGAAGAAGAUGACUCAUCUUAGUCUCUUACCGAAUCUCGCCGCUCCUCACAGUCUCUGGUGUGAGGUAAAUCAUCGUUACUCCUUUUUUCCUCUUUAAACCCUCUAAAUAUCUGUUUUUUUGUAGAUCUUAAAAUCUGUUUGGUUUAUUUUCUUGUUGGCUUUUUGGACGAAGCUAUUGCAUUUUAGCUUACACGUGUUGUUUCUGAUAGAUGGCUUUCGUGAUUUGGUCUCUCCAUGGAUUAUAAAGUUUUCGCAUUUGGUGCUGUUAUUUUUCUUCAUAUAUCUUUACUUCUUUUUUUUUUUAAAUCGUAUAUCUUUACUUCUUGAUAUCUGGCUUCAGUGUCAGUGUGUCACAACCACACAUGAUUUCUCUAUUGAUAAAGAAAUACGAUCUGCUGAGUCUUGCCUUUGUAGCAGAAGAUUGUUUAUUUCAUGUCGUUACUUUCUGUGCUAGUUGAGUCUGGUUUAGAUAUCUUCAUCUUAUUUUCUAAUUUAAAAGUUUGAUUAAGCUCAGAUAUUUGUUGUUCUAUUAUUUUCCAAGUUUUGUUAUUGGUAUUUAAUAACCUUUCGAUGAAAUACUGAGAGUAUGUAUAUUUUUUUUUGCAAGAAAAAGUGAAGACAAAGCAUCCCCAGCUGCCAAAAACUCAAAACCUGUCUCACUCAGGUGGACCAAGCAGAGACGCUCCAGCAGGGCAGGUGUUACCGCAGAGGAAGACUAAUGAUGAUGCUUGUAUCACUGAACUAUACCAUUUACAUAGAAUUACUUUUGUAAUAUUUAAUUUCAUAUACAUAUAUAAUUGGAAUCUUUUUUACAAUCUUUCAGUCACCGUUAAAAAAUUUAGUCUUUUAUUUUCUUUAUUCAAAAUCGUUUGUUCAUGUUGGUAAGAAGAUGAUCCAAAUGUUAGGCCAUGUGAUGAUUGAUCCAAAUGUUUCUUCUUUUAGUGUGGAUGUAGAAGAUGAAAAUAUCACUUUAGUUUAGUGUAAAAACAAAACUGAAGAAGUAACAAAAGUAGAUUUGGUAAUAACAAACCUGAAGAAGUACUAACAAAAGCUUCAAUUUUACAUUUUAAUUCAAUGUCACAAAAUGUUUGAAGUGAAACCACAUAAGAAGCAUAUUAGUAGACUUCAAAAUUUUGUCACCAAUUCAGUUUUUUUUUGUCUAAAUUAUAAUUAUCUUAUGUCAUUUUAGUAAGUUCAACAAAUGUACAAUCAUCACUCAAAAAACAAAAAAAAAUUCUACCUCCUUAACCAUUGCUAUUAUUCACCACAAAAUGUCACAAUUUCUCUUUCAUUUUUCAAUUUUAGUAAACAAUAAGUAUUUCAAUAAUUAUCUGUAAUAAAACACACAAAUAAACCGUAUUAGAAAACAAAAUUGCGAACCAAAUUCUUGUAAACACAUAAGAAAUGAAAAUUUUUGAUCAAGGAGACUUCAUCGGCAGACUUCAUCCGUAGACUGCAGAUGAAGUCUACUCUUCCAAGCUAACUAGCUAUUAAAUCAAGAAAUUUGAUUCCACAAUAAAUAUCGACUUAUCACAAAUGAAACUUAUUGAGUAGUUAAACCAGUUGGUAACACACAUUCCAAAACCAAAAAAAUACAAAAAAAAAUUUAUAUAUAUUAUGUAAUAUUGUUUUAAAAUAAUGAUACCAAGCAGACUUCGUGUGCAGACUUCAUCCGCAGACUUCUGUAGAAGUCUACUUUGAUAAGCUAAGUAGCUUAAAAAUCAAAACUUCUGAUUCAACAAUAAAUAUCGAAUUGAAUGAAAUGAAAUUCACUGGGUAGUUCAAUCACUUACUAAAAAGCAUUUCUAAUCAAAAAAAUAAAAAAAAUACUUUAUAAAUUUGCCUAAAACGCAUUUUUUAAAAAAACUGCAAUAAGUAGACUUCUACAGCAGACUUCAAACGUAGACUGGAGGAGAAGUCUACUUUUUCAUAGUGAAGUCUACUAAAGAAGUCUACUAAAAAACAUGUUAUUUUUGCAAUUGACCAAUCCGUUGACUUUUUCUUCAGUAGACUUCAGAAGUAGACUUCCGGCCAAAAAGGUUACUUUAGCAUUUGACUGAUGCAUUGACUAACAAAGUAGACUUCUAUUGUAGACUUCAUGUACGAGUAAACUUCUCUGACAGUCUACUUUUGAAGUCUACUUUUUCAAUAGAAGUCUACGAAAAAAAAUAGGUUAUUUUUGCAAUUGAAUUUUUGGAGUAGACUUCACUGUGAAGUCUACUUAAAAAAGAUUCCUUCUAAGUUUGACCGAAAAAUAUAAGUAGACUUCCCAAAGAAGUCUACAGUUUUUAGACUUCUUUCUGAAGUCUACUGCAGCUUUCCGGAGUUUUAUAUUUUUAUUUUUUUAAAAACUUUAGUCAAACACUAAAAUGACCUAUACGUUUUUGGUCAAACUACAAAAGUAACUUAAAAGUAGACUUCUUGUGCAGACGUAAACAGUAGACUUUAGAAAGAAGUCUACAUUAAAAAAGUCAAAAUAUGGUCAACUACAAAAAUAACCUCUUUUCUUUCGUAGACUUCUUAAGCCUUCAAAUGAAGUCUACUUUGCUUUUUUUUGUUUUCAAAGGAUAUCGAGUAGACUUCUCGUGAGGUUUAAUGAAGUCUACUUUUAAAAGUCAAUUACAAAAAUAACCUUAUGUUGACUAGUAGACUUCAGUAUACUUCACGAGAAGUCUACUUUCGCGAUAUGAAAACUGAAAUGUGGAGAAAUUGAAGUGUGACGAUUACAUUUAACAAAAUUGAGCUCGGCUACAGUUCUUUUAAGCACCCAGAACUCAGGAUUUCACCAAAAAUAAGCAACCCAGAUGUUAAGUAACCAGAAAUCACCAAAAAUGCAUGAAUUUUGGCAUUGUAACUUAGCCCAGUUGUUUUGGAGAAGAAAUUAUGAAAGAAUGAGGAAGGUUAUGAGUGAAUGAGCUCAAAUCUUUACUUAUUACAGCUUUAAAAUUGGUUGAGAAGCAUUUAUUCUAUUUUCAUGGUUGUUCAUAGUGGUUGAAGAAAUUGAAAAAGAUGACAUUCUCGUAAUAAAAAGGUUUUUAGAAGGUCCAAGGAGACUUUAACCAAAUUAAAGAAAAAUCGAAAUAAUAGAUGUAUAAUGGCAUUUUCGUUAAUAGUUUAAGUGGGAAUGAUAAAAUUGUGAGAAAAUGGCAAAAGUUGGAGAGAGAAAAAAAAGAGGUUAGUUUGGUGUUUGACUUUGAAAUAUGGGUUAAAUCUGAAACUCUCCCAUCAUUAAAAUGCAAAUUUUUUGAAUAACAGUAGAUUUUGAUUAGAUUAUAAAAAUCAUCAAACCAAUAACAAUAAAUUUUUUAUAAUCUGUUUACGAAUAACAAUAUAAUCUAUUAAGAAUGUAAAAACCCACAAACCAAUAACCAUAAAAUCUUAAACUCUAAAAAUCUUUAUAAAUCAACCUUCGGAUAACACCAUCUACAUAUAUCUCUUGGAUUCUCAAAGUCUGUCAUAUCAUAUCUUUUAAAUCCACACAAUUUUUGUAAGUUUUAUAAAUUUAACAAAACUCUUGAAGAUUUGACAAAUUUUCUGACUUUUAAAAUCUUUAUAAAUCCAACUUCCAAUAACCCCUCUAAAACGACUAUCUGAAUGUUAAUCUUUUGCUAUUAAAUCAAGCAAAGAGAAAAUUGACACCACUUUAUCAUAUCAAAUUGAUUUCUAUAUCCCUAUGAAAAAAUAUAGGGAAUUAUGUGAUAUGUUUAUCAUUGCGCUAUGUAACUUGUGAUUGUCCUAAAUCUAGUAACAAUUUUCAGUUCCUUUUUGUUUUGGUUUAUUUCAAAACACUCUUUGGAGGGACUAUUCACAAAUCAAUGACCGAACUUUACACUUUAUUUAUACUGUAGCCAUUUAGAUAGUUCUUGCCUUUUUGGUCACAGUUCAAGAACUUAUUUCCUUCUUUUCCCCUACCGUUUAUUCCACGUAAUUUAAAUUGUAAAACUGAUCAUUAUGUUGCUUGCAAUGCUAGUUUCGUUCUUGUGAUUUUGUAGAUAUAAACUUUGUAAUUCUUAUUUGGAUUUUCUAUUAACUAAACCAUUAUUGUUGAAAAACCAUCAUCCUGAAUAGGGUUGUCAUUUGUCAAUUAGGGUUAAAGUUUAUUGACUAUCCUUGAAUCCUAUCAUCUGCGUGGCCCAAAUCACCCAAACUCGUUUUGCAGGACUUUGGAAAACUUGAACUCUUAACAUUCAACACAAUCAAUAUGGAAACAGACGAACAUUUGCAUAUAAUCUACACACAACUCCAUUUUUCCCAAACAUAUAUAAACAACUCCACCUGAGGUAAAGUUCAAGGAGUUCAAAAAUGAGGAGUAAGAGAACUGAAACUUAUUCAAUUUAGUGCUUUUUAGACCACCUCCAACCAUGGUCUCUAAUGAGGAGUUCUAAUUAUUUUUUUUAAUAGUUUUAUUCAUCUUUUUUGUUUUAAAACCUCUAUUACAUCAUUUCUAAAUUUUGUGGUCCAAUGGUAGGCUUUAAUUGAAGUUCUAAAAAAGAAAAAAAAAAUUAUUGUAACUUUUGAAAUACAAACAUUUUAUGAAGACAAAUUAUUUUAUUGAUUUGAAAUUUAAAUAUACAUUACAAAAAAAAAAAACACUACACCAAUAAGAAAAAGGGAUUGAAUAAAAAAAACCCUACACCAAUCUUAUAUAUACUAAUAAAAGUUGAAGCUAUAUGCUUUUAAGAGUAUCCACAUCCACAUAGGAUUUAAGAAAGCAAUUUAAUUGGUCUACAUCAACAUUCAAAAAUAAGGAAAAUUUACAAAUUGUAAUAUUAUUGUUGAAAAAAAAAGAAAUUAAAAAAGUGUCCACAUAGGAUUUAAAAAAUGAAUUUCAUUGGUCCACAUAAACAUUUAAAAUUAAGGAAAAUUUACAAAUUGUAAUAUUAUUGUUGAAAAAAGAAAUUAAGAAAGUUUAUUGGUCCAAUAAAAUUUUUUAGUGGUCCACCUCAACACUGAAAAUUAAAAAAUAUUUAUAUAAAUUUUUUAUUGGUCCACCUCAACAUUGAAAAUUGAAAAUUUUCCAAAUUCUAUUAUUGUUUUUAAAAUUAUGAAAAGUAAAGAAAUUAUAUAUAAAAUUGAUAUUAAUAAUAAAAAACUAAAAUAAAUAAUAUUAAAAUAAAGAAAUUACAAAGGUGUCCACAUAGGAUUUAAAAAUCAAUUUUAUUGGUCCACAUCAACAUUCAAAAUUAAGAAAAAUUUACAAAUUGUAAUAUUAUUGCGGAAAAAGAAAAUUAAGAAAGUUAAUUGGUUCAAUAAAAAAAUUUUAUUGGUCCACCUCAACACUGAAAAUUGAAAAAUAUUUGUAUAAAUUUUUUAUUGGUCCACCUCAACAUUGAUAAUUGAAAAUUUUCCAAUAUAUAAAAUUAAUAUUAAUAAUAAAAAACAAAAAUAAAAAAUAUUAAAAUAGGAAAAUUUUAAUUUAAAUUAGAUAUAUACACACAUAUUUAGAGACUCUUAUAUUAGCAUCCAAUUUUUUUGUCACAUAAUUAUAAUAAUUUUUUAAGUUGUUUUUGUGUGUGCAACCAUGUAAAAUAAACAAAAACAAAAGAUAGAGUAAGGUUUCACUACAAAAUGAGUCAUUACAACGUAAAAGAACUAAUUUGACUAAAAUAUAUGUUUAACUAUUAGCUAAAUUACAAAGAAUAUAAUAAAAGAAGAUAUAAACAAAACCACUACAAUAACAAACUUGACCAAACUAUAUGUUUUAGCUAAAUUAUAAAGAAUAUAAUGAAAGAAGAUAUAAACAAAGGCACUACAAGCCGUUUUAAUAUUAAAAAAGAAACCGUAAAAUCUUCAAAGCUUGGCCACCAAAUUUAAGAUAAUGAUAAAUUUUAAGCAAUCCGAGAACACAUGUCAAGUGAUUGAUACUCGACACUUUUGAAAAACCAAGCACUAAAAAUAGAGAAAAGAACAUAGCGGAGGAGACUGAGGUAUCUGAGGAAAUUUUGUGGAAUAACAUAGCAUCUGAAUGGGUUUUAACAAUCCAACCUGAACCACAAAAGUAACAAUUAGCUGACCAAGCAGCACUGAAUGUAUUCGGUAAGCCUCAAAACAAUGAGGAGAGGCUAAAAUCACUUGCCGUAACAGGCCUCGUGUGAGAUUUUCUAGUUUUAAUUUCUAAAUCUAUUACUAAUAAAAGUUAAAGCUAUAUGUCUCUAAGAAUGUCCAUAUAUGAUUUAAAAGUUUAAUUCUAUUGGUCCACAUCAAUAUUUAAAAUUAAGAAAUUUCUAAAUUUUAAAAUUAUAUUGUUAACAAACAAAUAUAUUUAAAAAUAAAAAUAAAAGUUGAAGCUAUAUGACUCUAAAGACAUUUACAUAAAAUUAAAUUAACUUUUUUUUCUAAAUUAUAAAAUUACAUUGUUAAUACAAAAUAAUAUAAGAAAAAUUGUUAGUUAAAAUUAUUCUAUUAUUAAUGAUAGUUAAAGCUAUAUUAUUUUCAAGGCAUCCACAUCAGCAUUUAAAAAUUCAUAUAUAUUAGUAUAUAUCAAAAUUAUAAAUUAAAAAAAGUUUCAUAAUUCUAAUAUUAUGGUUAAAAAAUAUAUUAAAAAAAUAAAGAAAUAUCUAUUAACCAAAAAAACCAACAUAAUAUUAAAAUCUCCAUUAUCACUGUUUAAAUCACAAAUUUAGUUUAUUAUCUAUAAAAAAAAUAUAUGCUACUUAUACAAGUUUAAGUUACUUGAUUUUAAAGCUUUUCAUGUAGAAUUUCAAAUAACUAAUAUUUAUGAUUUAUAUUCAUCUAAUUUUUUUUCACAUAUGCAAACCAUAUCAUCUAAAUAUGUAAUAUAUUAUGCGAAAAUAUGCAAUAUUUUUUUCUCAUGUAAUAUAUUAUGCAAAAAUGAUCAAAAUUUUUACAUUUUAUAUAUUAAAUUUGGAAUUCAAUAGAUUAAUGUAGAAGUUCUUAGUUUUGAGUUGUUCAAUUUGUUAUUCUAUUUUUAUAAAUUUGUAUGUAUUAAAUUGUAUUGGUUUUGUCCUACUUAAUUACAAUUAGAAGUGAGAAUGAAUAUGAUGAAACUGAAUAUAAUCAUACAAAAAUUAAUAAAAUAAAUAAAUAUGAUAGAUUCAUUGAAAAAACAGAUAUAACAAGAAUAAAAAUGAAGAAGAUGAAAAAAAAAUCAUUCUUAUUAGAAGAGAUGACGUAUAAUCAUUGAAAAAUUAUUUAAAAGUUUACACUACCAAUUGACAAAAAUAUAUUUAUUUAUAAAUUUUUGUGAUUUUAUUCAUUUCAUAUUCAAUUACUGUUUUAGUUUCAAAUUUAAAGUUGUUAUUAAUCUCAAAGCAAAUAUUUUAUUUAAUAGUAUGUUUUUAAAAUUAAUAUAUCAAAAUAAAAAUUUGUAUUUGUUAAAAAAGAGAAGAAAAAAGAUUAAAUUUUAAAUUUUUUUAUUAUUUUUUUAAGAACAUAUAUAUAAUUAAAUAAAAGUGAAAAUAAUGGGAAAAAUUAUCUUCUUAAUUUAAAGAAGUGAAUGUAUAAUAUUUUAUUAUCAUGUUAAUAUGAUGUUUAAAAAGUAACAUUUGAUUAAUUUGUAAAAAAAUUAGCUGGUUUUUGUAUAUUAACUUAUAAAUGUUUGACCAAAUAAUACAUUUUUGAAAUAUGAUAUACUGUAUAUAGAUUCAAAACAAAACCAUUAAAAUAUCACAAUUUACAUAAAAAUUAUUAGAUCAACACUAUUAUAUUUUAAUAUAUUUUUAAAACACUAAUAUAUAAAAUUUAUAUCUUAAUAAAUAUAAUUAAUUGUAUAUAAUUUUUAUCAACAAAAUACCCAUGCGUAGCGUGGACGCAAAAUCUAGUGAAUAAAAAAAACCUUAGAGGGUUUGAACAAGAACUAAAAAAAAAUACAUUACAUAAUUCAAAAAUUUUUAGUGAGACAGAGGGCUUAAAUAAAUAAUAAAAAAAACACUACACCAAUAAAAAAGUGACACGUCAGAGUCUCUAAUGAAUCUUUAGAGAGCACUAAAUUAAAAACGGUUUUGGCAAUAUUAUCCAUUAAAACUUUUCUGUUUAAUUAAAAUUCAAACUAUAACCCCUUAUCAUCCCCCAUUGGCUGCUCUUAGCCCCUUCUUGCUUUCUUUCUUUACUGAUGGUAAAUCGAAUCACUUGUCCAAUUUCUUCCGUUUACACUUUACAAUUGUUAAUCAACGCAAAAUUAGGAGUUAGAUGUGAGAUGACGAACUCUCAUUCAAGUUUGUGUAUCACUGGAUAUCAUCGACGAAUAAAUUCCAUUGCACAACCAAUUCUCUUCCACAUACAAAGAAACGUCAUAUUAUCGGACGAGAUUUCUAAUUGUGGCAAAUCAAAGAGAGCGAGAGAGAGGAGGGUAAAAAGAUUGUUGUACUCAAAACUUGUGCAGAAAUAAAUAAAAUCUAGAACAAAAACGAACAAUGGAUAAGCUGACACCAGGUGGAUUUGAUCCACUAAGCAAAAACUAAACAUUCAAAAGACAAGAACGAGAGGAGACUAUGAUCUAUUCCUCCUCAACGAUCUUGCUCUUCUCGCUUACAUAGAUACCGUCAAGAAACUUUCUGAUAUCCUUCUUCUUGACGUGAGAUUUCUGCACAUCACAUAAACCAAUCCAUAGUAAUUACAAAAGUUCCGUAUACAAAAGUGUUCAAAAAUAAAAAAACAUCAACCAAAUAUCCCUUUUAACCUCGAGCUUUCAGUCUAAAUGGGUCGGAGACUAACAAUAUGCAAGCUAGAUCAAGUUAACUUAAGCAAUUUUAUAGUCAGUAUUGUAGAAGUCUACGAGAGAGCGAUAUAGAUAAUUUGGAUGGAUUUACACUGAAGUUCAUAUCAUUAAUCAAACAUAAACCAUAAUAUAAACUACGUCUCCUUCAUUAAACAAUUCCUCAAUCUUUGAGACCCAUCAGAAUACAAACUCGGUUAAGAACUUUCAAGUCUUUAUCUAGUGAACAUUGUUAAAGACUAUGAGAAACCCAUUAACAUAUACACACAAAUGCAUCUUUCUUCACUCAAGUUUCAGAACAUUAAACAAGAAAUGUAUCUGCUUGCUAGUAAGAGUACCUGGUUGAUCAAAGCGCAAGAUCUUGAGACAAGCUCGAUAUCGUUACCAUCAAGAACAAUCUCAUCCUUCACUUUCUCAGAUCGAACAAUGGUCACAGCAUCCAACAUCUCUACCUUCCUCACCUGUUGAUUCCAAUAAAACCAUUACAUCUAAGUUCAUCAAAUCGGAGCUAAUAUUUCACAAUCACAUUACACAAUUCCAGAAGAACCAAAUCCAAUCUAGUAUCCGAGAGAAUCAGAUUGAUAAAACACGAACCUUCUUCUCGCCAAGGAAGUUACGGAUCUCGAUGGACUUGUUAUGGCCGCUGAUUGAAGCGUUGAUGGGAAAAUGAGCGUACACGAACCUCAUCUUGUAUCGGAAACCUCUGGUUACGCCGGAGAUUUAUCGACGUGGCUAAGAGCAGUUCUGAUGGAAGCGCUUGAUUUGCGCGAUCCAAACCACGAAUCGAUCUUGAGCUUUCGUUUCCCAGUUUCUUCGUCCUUGAUUAGCUGGAAAUCGAGGUUUAGAUGCUUGAAAUCGCGGACGAGCUUGCCGCGAGGUCCUUCAACUUCGAUGACCUUAGCGUUAACCUUGAUGCUAACGCCGUCGGGAAUGUCCAUCGUCUCCGAAGAUAGAAUCGUCUUCAUCUUCUC
rnacentral:lncRNA from 1 species